CUGCGUCUCUCUGUCCGCGUCUCUCUCUUCGCAUCUCUCUCGCCAUGAAAUCGCCAUGAAAGCUUGAGAUCUCUCUCUCCGCCUCUCUCUCUCCGUGUCUCUCUCUCUCCGCGUCUCUCUCUCCGCCCCUCUCUCUCUCAGCUUCCAGGGGAUGUGCCUUGCAGUGUGCCAUUCUCAGACCCACCUUCAAAGUCCGUGAGUUCCAGGUUCAUGAGAGUUUCCCUUUCUCCAUUUCGCUGGCGUGGAAAGGAGCAGCUGUUGAUGCUCAAAAUGAAGGAGCUGAGAACCAGCAGAGCACCAUUGUUUUCCCCAAAGGAAACUCAAUUCCUAGUGCCAAGGCUCUAACGUUUUACCGCUCUGGAACAUUCUCUGUCGAUGUGCAGUACAUUGAUGUGACUGACUUGCAAGCACCUCCAAAAAUCAGCACAUACACGGUUUGAUCUUUGCCCAAUGUCGUGUGUAUCCUUAAGACUGUAGCGUGCCUUUUUUCAGCUGAUGGAUCUUAUUAUCAGUCACGAGUUUGUUUGCUGAGUCUGAGAUCAUUUUGUGUUGAGUCAAGUCUCAUAUGUGGGUUUUAGUUUUGAGAAAUGGUGAAUGAUGAUGUAUGAUUCAGUAAUUGUUAAACCUAUGUUGUGUUUGUGUUGUUGUUGCAGGAAAUGUAACGAUGUAUAAAGCUAUAUUUUGUGG